UAAGGAAUAUUGGUCAAUGGACGCAAGUCUGAACCAGCCAUGCCGCGUGAGGGAUGAAGGUCCUCUGGAUUGUAAACCUCUUUUAUCUGUGAAUAAACGUCCUUUUUCUAAGGGAUUUGAAGGUAAUAGAUGAAUAAGCACCGGCUAACUCCGUGCCAGCAGCCGCGGUAAUACGGAGGGUGCAAGCGUUAUCCGGAUUUACUGGGUUUAAAGGGUGCGUAGGUGGGUUGGGAAGUCAGUGGUGAAAUACUUUCGCUUAACGAAGGAACUGCCAUUGAUACUAUCAAUCUUGAAUGUAGUGGAGGUAGGCGGAAUGCGUCAUGUAGCGGUGAAAUGCUUAGAUAUGACGCAGAACACCAAUUGCGAAGGCAGCUUGCUACACUACUAUUGACACUGAGGCACGAAAGCGUGGGGAUCAAACAG
rnacentral:rRNA from 1 species